UACGUAGGGUGCGAGCGUUGUCCGGAAUUAUUGGGCGUAAAGGGCUCGUAGGCGGUUUGUCGCGUCGGGAGUGAAAUCCACUGGCUUAACUGGUGGCUUGCUUUCGAUACGGGCAGACUGGAGGUAUGCAGGGGAGAACGAAUUCCUGGUGUAGCGGUGAAAUGCGCAGAUAUCAGGAAGAACACCAAUGGCGAAAGCAGCUUUCUGGGACGGUACUGACGCUGAGACGCGAAAGCGUGGGGAGCGAACAGG
rnacentral:rRNA from 1 species